rnacentral:rRNA from 1 species
AGAGUUUGAUCCUGGCUCAGAAUGAACGCUGGCGGCGUGCCUAACACAUGCAAGUCGUACGAGAAAGACUGUUUUCGGAUGGUCGAGUAAAGUGGCGCACGGGUGAGUAACGCGUAGGUAACCUACCCUUGUAUUGGGGAUAACAGGACGAAAGUUCUGCUAAUACCGGAUGUGACCUGGGGCUGGAGGGUUUCAGGUUAAAGUGGGCCUCUCGAAGAAGCUCAUGUACAGGGAUGGGCCUGCGUCCUAUCAGCUUGUUGGUGGGGUAAUGGCCUACCAAGGCGACGAUGGUUAGCUGGUCUGAGAGGAUGAUCAGCCACACUGGCACUGGAACACGGGCCAGACUCCUACGGGAGGCAGCAGUGAGGAAUUUUGCGCAAUGGGAGCAAUCCUGACGCAGCAACGCCGCGUGAGUGAUGAAGGCCUUCGGGUCGUAAAGCUCUGUCAGAGGGAAAGAAGUGCAGUGGUGCUAAUACCAUCAUUGCUUGACGGUACCCUCAAAGGAAGCACCGGCUAACUCCGUGCCAGCAGCCGCGGUAAA